rnacentral:rRNA from 1 species
GAUGAACGCUAGCUACAGGCUUAACACAUGCAAGUCGAGGGGAAACGACAUCGAAAGCUUGCUUUUGAUGGGCGUCGACCGGCGCACGGGUGAGUAACGCGUAUCCAACCUGCCCACCACUUGGGGAUAACCUUGCGAAAGUAAGACUAAUACCCAAUGAUAUCUCUAGAAGACAUCUGAAAGAGAUUAAAGAUUUAUCGGUGAUGGAUGGGGAUGCGUCUGAUUAGCUUGUUGGCGGGGUAACGGCCCACCAAGGCUACGAUCAGUAGGGGUUCUGAGAGGAAGGUCCCCCACAUGGGAACUGAGACACGGUCCAACCUCCUACGGGAGGCAGCAGUGAGGAAUAUUGGUCAAUGGACGGGAGUCUGAACCAGCCAAGUAGCGUGCAGGAUGACGGCCCUAUGGGUUGUAAACUGCUUUUAUAAGGGAAUAAAGUGAGUCUCGUGAGACUUUUUGCAUGUACCUUAUGAAUAAGGACCGGCUAAUUCCGUGCCAGCCGCCGCCGUAA